rnacentral:rRNA from 1 species
GACGAACGCUGGCGGCGUGCUUAACACGUGCAAGUCGAACGAAGUGGCGAACGGGUGAGUAACGCGUAAUCAACCUGCCCUUCAGAGGGGGACAACAGUUGGAAACGACUGCUAAUACCGCAUACUGAAGGAGGGGAUUGCGUCUGAUUAGCUAGUUGGAGGGGUAACGGCCCACCAAGGCGAUGAUCAGUAGCCGGUCUGGAGGGAUGAACGGCACACAUGGGAACGAGAAACGGGCCAAGAUCCUACUGGGGGGAGGAGGUGGGAAUCUUCCGCAAUGGACGAAAGUCUGACGGAGCAACGCCGCGUGAGUGAUGACGGCCUUCGGGUUGUAAAGCUCUGUUAAUCGGGACGCGGUACCGGAAUAGAAAGCCACGGCUAACUACGUGCCAGCAGCCGCGGUAAUAC